GACGAACGCUGGCGGCGUGCUUAACACAUGCAAGUCGAACGGAAAGGCCCUGCUUUUGUGGUGUGCUCGAGUGGCGAACGGGUUUGUAACACGUGAGUAACCUGCCCUUUACUUUGGGAUAACUUCAGGUAACUGUGGCUAAUACCGGAUAGGAGCUCCUGCUGCAUGGUUGGUGUUGGAACGUUUCGGUGGUUGGGGAUGGACUCGCGGCUUAUCAGCUUGUUGGUGGGGUAGUGGCUUACCAAGGCUUUGACGGGUAGCCGGCCUGAGAGGGUGACCGGCCACAUUGGGACUGAGAUACGGCACAGACUCCUACGGGAGGCAGCAGUGGGGAAUAUUGCACAAUGGGAGGAAGCCUGAUGCAGCAACGCCGCGUGCGGGAUGACGGCAUUCGGGUUGUAAACCGCUUUCGCCUGUGACGAAGAGUGAGUGACGGUAAUGGGUAAAGAAGCACCGGCUAACUACGUG
rnacentral:rRNA from 1 species